UCCGCAGGCGGGCAAUUAAGUCAGGGGUGAAAUGGUGCGGCUCAACCGUAGCACUGCCCUUGAUACUGGUUGUCUUGAGUCAUAGUGAAGUGGCCGGAAUAUGUAGUGUAGCGGUGAAAUGCAUAGAUAUUACAUAGAACACCGAUUGCGAAGGCAGGUCACUAACUAUCGACUGACGCUGAUGGACGAAAGCGUGGGGAGCGAACCGGAUUAGAUACCCGAGUAGUCC
rnacentral:rRNA from 1 species